AUACGGAGGAUGCGAGCGUUAUCCGGAUUUAUUGGGUUUAAAGGGUGCGUAGGCGGUCGGGUAAGCGUAGGGUGAAAGUCCUCUGCUCAACAGAGGAAGUGCCUUCCGAACUGUCCGACUGGAAUGCUCCUGCCGUGGGAGGAAUGUGUGGUGUAGCGGUGAAAUGCAUAGAGAUCACACAGAACACCGAUUGCGAAGGCAUCUCACGAAGGGGCUAGUGACGCUGAGGCACGAAAGCGUGGGGAUCAUACAGGAUUAGAUACCCUGGUAGUCCACGCAGUAAACGACGAUGACUAACCGUCGGUCAAGACUGAUCGGUGGCCAAGCGAAAGCGAUAAGUCAUCCACCUGGGGAGUACGACCGCAAGUUUGAAACUCAAAUGAAUUGACGGGG
rnacentral:rRNA from 1 species